rnacentral:lncRNA from 1 species
UUUUUUUUUUUUUUUUUCCGGAGGAGACAAGUGAGAAGAAUUUUCGUAGCUUUCUCUUCCUUCUCUAAUUCCCUCCUCCUCUCCCUCCAUCCUUUGUCCCCUCCUCCCCCUGCCCCUCCUCUUCUUCUUCCUUCUUCUCUCCUCCCUUUCCCCUCUGCAAGUUGUGGGACUUAUAUUUCUUUUUUUUUCUUGUUUAGCUAUAAGAAGAGUAGAGCAUCUUAGGAUUCUUUUGUAAGUUAGUCAUCAUCCUUGGUCCCCCCAACCCACCCCUGCCUCGUUUCCUUCUCUGCUUGUAGAGAAAUUGAGGUACAUAGAGGGAUUGUCCCCCUUUUAAACUUUCCGGCGGUGUCACCCACUGGAGGGUGCUGUCCAGAUGGGCUUUGGAGAGUUCCUCAGGCUCCCAGCCCUGUCCCUGGCCUCAGGUCCGGCCGCACUUGCGGUGGAGUGGUCCCCAGCUGGUCCUGGGGGCAGAUGGACAGAUGCAACAGCUGUGAUGUCCUCUGAGGCAAGUCUGGAACAACAGCAAGAAGGAGAAAAGUGAAAAAGAUGUACAGAUCUGAAGGCCUCAGCACCUCAUGUACAGGAGGGCACACGGUGGAGGACAGCCUGAGAACCCCUCGAUGGCCCAUCCCUGUGCUCCCUCCCAGCUCCUGCAGGCUGACUGUCAUCAAACCAGGCCCAGAGCAAACCCCAGUAAAUCUCAGGACGAGCUGCAGGUUAGAACCUAGCCUGGGUUCUAACUGUGACCUCGGCCAAGUUACCUGAGCUCUCUGAGCUUCCAUUUUUGUCAUGGCUAUUGUGACAUAAGAAUACCUUUCUCAAAAGGGUGCCAUGGGCAUUAAAUUAAGUAUCAAAAGGCGGCAUCAAAUGCAUUUGUGCCUGGCCCACAGGAAAAUCAGUGCGUUUUAAUUUGAUCUUCCUUACCAUCCCAAGACUUUCUCUUGAUAAUUGUAUAGUCUCAUUUUUACGCAUGCGGCCUCCCAACUUGACCCCUAUCUAUUCAUUUGCAUUGAAGGGCAUCUUUAUAUAUUAUAGCUUCUGUAGUUUCCACUAGAUGUAAGAUCUGUGAAUACCCAGAUUCCUUUAGAGUUCUCUUUCCCUGUGCUUUAACCCUGCAUGCGGAUUUUACCCAAAAGAUAUUUAUCAAUGAUCUCCCUUCGAAGGCAGAGCUCAGAUUGUAAGUGCAAAAUAAUGUUCUCCUGGUUGCUCAGGGGUCAUUGGCUGCCCUCCCUCCCUUUAGUCGGGGCAAAGGGCGUAUGGAGGGGGAGGGAGAAGUGCCCUGUAGCCCUCCCCUCUAGUGACAAUUCAGUGAUUUUGCAGCGUUGGUAUUUCUGGCCUUCAUCUCCUUUCCCAUCUGUCUGCCGAGGCCCUGGUGUACCUCCAGGUGUCACAAAGCCUGACUCUUUGGAUCGGGUCACUCUUGAAGCCUAAGAGACCCAUCAGUCUACUCUGGGAUGGAAUGGUUAUAAAUUCCAAGCUGUUGACUCCAAAGCACCAAAUAUUGUCAGAAGACUACACAUUUUGCAGCUGCUGUGGAACAUGCAAAUGUGCCUGAGGUGGUGCCGGGCCAGGAAUCGCUCCAGCUUUGUCUCAUUCAUUAUUCCUUUGAAAAGAAGCCUCCCUCUGCUCCUAACUGAAAAGAAACCUCCUCUGAACACUUAGUGCAGAACAGAGCACUUGAAAGGUAAGGCACUCUGGCUCUCCCUUCCCUAAUCAUAGUGGGAAAAGUUUUCACCGCAGGCCGGCCAAAACAGUCAAUUGUACGCAUUCUCCACCAGAUACAUAAUCCGUGCUUAAAUCUCCUGGCGGCAGCUCAUUAGUUUUCUUUUUUUCUCCUACAUUCUUUUCUUCUUUGAUGAGAACAAAGCCCGUCUCCUCCCUGCUCCAGAUCUUCCUUCUUUCUCCCAGGAAAUCUCACUCUUUUCCUUUCAUCCCUCAAGAAGAAAGUCACCCAAGCAGUGUCCUUUCCUACCUGCUAAAAGAUGGUCGUGAGUCUUUGUACUUUCGAAUCUGUGUCCACAGAUUUUUAUGGGGGAUCCUGCAAGGAGGUGUUCUGGCCAGAGACCCGGGCCUGACACUCUGAGGCCCCGUCACUUGAGCAGUGCCUCCUCCCAGCUCUUUCGUGGGCUGUUCUCGAGAAAGGCAGGAUUGCGCAUCCGGUAGCACCAAUGGAAUUGUAUUAUUGCAGCCCUUUGAAGCUCCCUCUUUCUAACCCCCUCUUACCCUCACCUCUUAGAUGUGGAAUUUUCUGUCAUCGCUGUUGUUGAAGUCAAAGUCAGAAACAGACCGACCUGAAUUUCUCUAAUGCCCCUCUUUGAUGCGGAAUAAAACAAAACCCCCCCCCCCCCCCCCGAUAUGCCCAACUUCUGCGAAAUGAAUGAAGUCAUGAAUGUAGGCUCUUGAGCACUGGUAGGAUUACAGGCAGACCCUGGAGAUAUUGCAGGUUCGGUUCCAGACCGCUGCAGUAAAGGCAGUAGCGCCACAAAGCGAGUCAUAGGAAAUUUUUGAUUUCCUGGUGCAUAUAAAAGUUAUGCUUCCCCUAUGCGCCUGUCUUUUAAGAGUGUAGUAGUGCUACGGCUAAAAACACGGUGUACAUCCCUUAACUGAAAACCGCUUUAUCGUGAAAGAUACCAUCAUCAGAGCCCUCCGUGGGUCGUAGCACUAACAUCACGGGCCACAGAUCACCCUAGUGAAUAUAACAGUAAUGAGAAAGUUUGAAGUACUGUGAGAAUGACCAAAACGUGACACAGAGACACGAAGGGAGCAGAUGCUUUUGGAAAAAUGGCACCAAUAGACUCGCUUGAUGCCGGGUUGCCAUAAACCUUCAAUCUGUAAAAAAAAAAAAAAA